rnacentral:tRNA from 1 species
GGGGCUGUGGCUCAGUGGUAGAGCAUCAGUUCGGCAUGUAGAAGAUCCCCGGUUCAAUCCCCGGCAUCUCCA